UACGUAGGGGGGCAAGCGUUGUCCGGAAUCAUUGGGCGUAAAGAGCGUGUAGGCGGCCCGAUAAGUCCGCCGUGAAAGUCCAGGGCUCAACCCUGGAAUGCCGGUGGAAACUGUCGGGCUGGAGUCCGGAAGAGGCGAGUGGAAUUCCUGGUGUAGCGGUGAAAUGCGCAGAUAUCAGGAGGAACACCAAUGGCGAAGGCAGCUCGCUGGGACGGUACUGACGCU
rnacentral:rRNA from 1 species